rnacentral:rRNA from 1 species
AGCAGCCGCGGUAAUUCCAGCUCCAAUAGCGUAUAUUAAAGUUGUUGCAGUUAAAAAGCUCGUAGUUGAAUUUCGGGAUUGACGUGAUGGUCGUGCCUUACGGGGUAUGAACUGUUGCUGUUGAUUUCUCACCUUCUGGAGAAACUUGAUGUCCUUAAUUGGGUGUCUUGCGGAUCCAGGACCUUUACCUUGAAAAAUUAGAGUGUUUAAAGCAGGCAUUUUGCUCGAAUACAUUAGCAUGGAAUAAUAGAAUAGGACGGCAUGGUUCUAUUUUGUUGGUUUCUAGGAUCACCGUAAUGAUUAAUAGGGAUAGUUGGGGGCAUUAGUAUUCAAUUGUCAGAGGUGAAAUUCUUGGAUUUAUUGAAGACUAACUACUGCGAAAGCAUUUGCCAAGGAUGUUUUCAUUAAUCAAGAACGAAAGUUAGGGGAUCGAAGACGAUCAGAUACCGUCGUAGUCUUAACCAUAA